rnacentral:rRNA from 1 species
UGAGGAACAUGACCUUCGGCGGGGGAUAGCCGGCCCAACGGCCGGGUAAUACCGCGUACGACCACAUGGGGACAUCCCUGAGUGGUGAAAGCAGCAAUGCGCCGAUGGAGUGCCUCGCGGCCUAUCAGCUAGUUGGUGAGGUAACGGCUCACCAAGGCAACGGACGGGUAGCUGGUCUGAGAGGAUGGCCAGCCACAGUUGGGACUGAGACACGGCCCAGACCUCGUACGGGGAG